rnacentral:rRNA from 1 species
UACGGAGGGUGCGAGCGUUGUCCGGAAUCACUGGGCGUAAAGGGCGCGUAGGCGGCCUGAUAAGUAGGGGGGUGAAAUCCUGUGGCUUAACUGCAGGGCUGCCUCCUAGACUGUUAGGCUCGAGCACGGUAGAGGCAGAUGGAAUUCCCGGUGUAGCGGUGGAAUGCGUAGAGAUCGGGAAGAACAUCGGUGGCGAAGGCGGUCUGCUGGGCCGUUGCUGACGCUGAGGCGCGACAGCGUGGGGAGCAAACAGG